rnacentral:rRNA from 1 species
CCACCAAUCUUAUUGGAUGUUGGGCACUCUAUCGAGACCGACGGCGACAAGCCGUAGGAAGUGGGGAUGAUGUCAAGUCAGCAUGGCCUUUAUAUCCAGGGCUACACACGCCUACAAUGACCGGUACAAAGGGAAGCAAGACCGCGAGGUGGAGCAAAUCCCAAAAAGCCGGCCUCAGUGCGGAUUGCAGUCUGCAACUCGACUGCAUGAAGUUGGAAUCGCUAGUAAUCGCAGAUCAGCACGCUGCGGUGAAUAAGUUCUCGGGUUU